rfam:Myotis brandtii contig186289, whole genome shotgun sequence.
GGCAGUUCUCGGGUGACACACCCCAGAAUCGGGCUCCCUUCUCUCUGGUUCCGGGUGCAUCACCCGAGAACUGCA